CCUUCUUCCAGUAAGUUUGCUUUAUACAAGUGAAGUCUUUCUUUGGCUCCAUCAAGUGCACGUAAGUUUUCUGUUUUCUUAGUAUCAUUUGGGUCGCGAACAGUGGCUUUAACCGUAUAGCCUCGCUGAAGCAAGUGCUUAAUCAGCCAUGAUGCUAUGUAACCUGACCCUCCUGUUACGCACACCACUUUUCCUUCACCACUCAUUCUCUUCGCACCAAGGGAAA
rnacentral:misc_RNA from 1 species